rnacentral:tRNA from 1 species
UGGGUUGUGGCUCAGAGGUAGAGUACUUGCCUAGAAUGUUCGAGGCACUGGGUUCAAUUCUCAGCACCUCAU